CAAUUUUCUUCCGGUAGCGGUUAUGAGACAUCGCAAAGUUUCUUGAUCGUUAGCUUGAAUAUAAACGUGAAAAAUGUGAGUGUUUUAUUGACGAAGAUAAUUAAGACUGGGUGAAGGCGAAAUCGUAAUAAUGGCUGAAGAUCGCGGACAGUUUGAAGGGGCUCACCCGGAAUGGACAGCCUAUAUAAAUAUCCCCUCCAGGGGACGAGAAGACUCGGUGCAAACGAGUGAUCCAGGAGAAAGCCUCUCGUUCGAUUGGCCCCACGAACCGGUAUAACCAAGACAAUUCCAGGUAUCUCUUUCCACCGAGCGAUACAGAGCUGUCCGCCACGCAUCCUUCCUUCGUUCCACUACUGCUCUGAAAGCGACGCAUUUUUGUUAGAGAAAUUCAACUAACCAUUGGUGAGAGCACUCGAAGUCUUCUCUGUUUCGAGAUCAAUGGGUGAUCAAUUGGAUAUCUUUGCAAUACAUCUAAAAAAUUUAUUUCUUCAUACAGCAGAUGUCUAUAACUUGUUGUUACACUAUUAAACAACUAAUGAUAAAAAUGGAUUACAAACAUUGACGUAAGGGUCUCUUCACGCGCGAGGAAUGCAUACAGCCAUGGAUACGGGAAAACUAUUAAGCUUUAAACUACAGAGAGAAGCACUCAUAUGAUCCUAGUAAUAAUUCGACAUGGUUAAAUACCAAUCAGGAAAAUUUAGCAACGACCGGUUUAUCGGAUUCUAAACGUAGAACUGUUCUUCGAACUUCUAGAGCAGAAAGGAAAAUUGCCUGUAUAUACCGGUUACGAGUGAAUUUCAAGCGCCUUUUCCAAGCGCGAAAUAUUCGCGUCAGCUUGAACGAAACAGGAUCGAGAGAAGUGAGAGGCGGCGUGGUUAUAGUAUGUAUAUGGUGGCGCGAUCUUAUGCAAUCUCAUGAUAGGAAUCAUGGGUCAGUCACUUGGCCGGCUCAUGGUGAUUCCAUGCGUUAUGAUUCUCCGGCCAGGAAGAAAAACUGUCGUACGGCAGACAGCUUUUAUCGAAGACAUAGAAAACUAGCGUUUACGGAUUCUACUAUUGGCAUAAAUGAUACAUAAUGGUAAUAGUACAGUGCAUGAUUGCUGAUGGAAGAAAGAUGAUGGCAGUUGGAAUUAUAGAAAUUAGAGUAUGGCAUAUAUUGCAUGGAUGAAUAUGGAAUAUGAUUUGAAGAGGUUAAGAUAACGAGAAUGCAAGUGAUUAGAUCUGACGUUGAUUAAGGGGAAUUCCAAUUUUAGAAAGUAACACAGAGAAAGAUUUUAUGCUCGAAAUUUAUAAAGUAUUGAUCAUCGAUUGAAUGGCGAUUGAAUUUUUCUGUAUUCUUCCGCUUAGGACGAUUUUCCUCAACUUGAUUGAGCUUUUAAUGGAACAAUCAGAUAUUAGAAUAUAUUACAGUGAUAAGAUUCAAAAGUUAAGAGAACUGACAUAUUAAUUAAAUUAUCACGGAAUGUAGAUUUGUAGAUCUGAAUGUAAAUUUUGUGAGACGAUGGUUGACUAUAUGGAGUUAGAGAAUAGAAAGUGAAUGUAUUGAUGAAUAAUGCUUCUAUAGUAACUACCAGUGAGAUUGAUGUAAAAUCGAAUAACUAGAAUUGCUGCUCAGCGAACGUCCUUGAAAUUCAUCCUCUCACUCCUACUUCUAUAGAAAAUUACAUUCCUAACCUUCUCCAUCCAACAAGCGUCAUCUUAAGCAUAUCAAAUUAAAAUUUACGAUUACAAAAUCUACGAGACAAUGCAGAGAAUGACACGUUAUCUGGAGUUAUUCAACAGAGAGGACAGGUGUCUUCUACUGGUCGAACCGCUCAAGUACAUGGGAGUAGAAUGGUUAUGGGUGCUGUGUAAUCAUCAGCUCGCCGUGUAUCCGGGCAUUGAAUUCGAGGAUUCUCCCCGGCCUCCUUCAGAUCCACUCUUCAUUGUACGCUACUUUGAUUACUUGUCUUUCGCAAGAUGAAUGGCCAGGACCGUGUACAUCCAAUCACCAGGAAGAAACGAUCAAACCUGUAAUCGAUUCUGUAGAGAUAACACUUGAUUUUGUAAUCCUUUAUUACGAGAUAAUUUUGUUUAUUACAUAAAGCUAGGAAAUUUCGGAGAAUUAGUAAUUCUGUGAAAUUAAUAGCUGAUUUUUUAAUUUUUACUACAUGAUAUUUUUCUUUUUUAUCAUAGAAAAACUGGAUGUCAAUGAAACUUUAGAAAUUUGGUGAUUGAAAAUUUAUUGAUUUUGGAAAAUUUAAGAUCAUAAAAGUAACAAUUGAUUUAUCCUACAAAUUGCUUUUAUAUUAUAAAAGUAGGAUACUUAAAAAAUUCUUUAAGUUUAUAGCAAUUUACAAAUAAGAUCGGUUUAUGUUAGUAUAAAAUAUCGAUCUAUAAUAUGGUUAUAGCAGGUCAAUUUACAUACUUCUUUAUUGAGGAGGCCAAUAAAAUGGGAGAUAUACGAGAGUUUGAAACAAGGCAUCGAUAACUACCUUGGUCCGUGAUGUGGGACAGAACAGGAAGAAACGACAAUGACGUCUAUAGAUAUGACGCCAAUAGACAUUUCUUGGCAAUGUACAGAAAGACAUAAUCUUGAUUGUAUCUAGUCUUUAUAGCUGUUUUGUAUAAACUCAUUUCCAUUUUACUGCAUUUAUGUCCUUACUAUUUAUUUGAAAAUCAAUUUUUUUCUUUAUUUUAAUAAUUCUCUAUAUAUACAAAUAACUUCUAUAAUCUUAAAUAAAUGAAGAAAUAAUUAUACAAAUAUCUGAGAGUUCCUAAGGUUUUUGAUGGCAUAUUAAUGCGUAGGAAAUCAUUUGGUUUACACGUACAGAUAUUGAAACACAAGUACUUACGUAUGUAUAUACGAGACACAGCAAGUACACGUACCAAAUCGGAUUUUUUUGCGUGGUACCGGUGAAAGGGAAAAGAUACUGGCGCGGCGCGGUGGUCUGGCAGGCCUAGAUACCCAAGAUCUGUCUGUCCUCUCAUUUAUAUUCAGCAAAGUUCACGUUAUUUUAAGAUUAUCAUCUUCCAUAGAAUUUUUGUUUUUCUUCUCAUUUUGUUUAUUUGUAGGUUACAACUAUGGUACUACAUUUUGUAGCAAAUUGUAAAAUAUCAAUGAAGAGAAAACUAUAGUUAUUCUUUGUUUAUCUAUAAUGGAGAUCAAGACAAGAACUUCCACCUAGUAAUUGAUCAUCAAAGUUGUCAAAAUACUAUAUAAACAUAACAUUAAUACAUAAUACUAAUACAAACACAAUACUGGAAAAUACUACGAUUUCAUACAACGUAAUACCAUAAUAAUCAACAUAUAACAAAGAAGAUUCUAUUGAAAAGCAAAUAAACAUCGCCCCCAGGAAAAAGAUGGAGCUACUCGAUCUCAUAAACUCUUUACACACUCAAACAACG